CCAUACUAAAUGUCCAUAUUAGAUAAGAUAUUAUCCAUAAAAGAUAGAUAAGGGGAGAAGACUAUAAAUCUCACAAAGUGAUUAAGGUUAACCAGAUGAUAAUAUAGAUUUAUGAUAUGGAUCCAUUUUAAGGAUAGUUGUGAUCUAGGAUAAUAUAUUACAUUAUUUUGUGUUUACUUUAUUUGAUCAUGAAGGAUCUCAAAUUGUAGAAAGCAUCCCUUUUAUCAUAUAGAAGUGGUGGUGCUUUCUUUCUGAGUGCCCAUUUUGGUUACAACUUACAAGCCAAUGAAAUUAUCACACCAGUCUCUUAAAACAAAACAGUAAAGGGCACUAUUGCGUGGACUCUAAGAUCAUCACUUCCAUAUACAGAAAAGUUGUAUUAUUUCCUCAUUAGGAAAUUAAUUACAUUAUUUGGUUUGAUUUUCUGUUUUAUAUUCAAUAAGAAACAUCUACUUUUGCUACGUUAGACCGACGUUAUUAGAGCGAGCAUGAUAAAACCAUGAUACAAUCUCAAUAUACAAGUUUAUGCAAUCAUCGCAAUUCACGACUCGUACAGAUGAUCAUCAUUUGGUUACUCAAGCUUUGCCCGGCUAGUACUGAGUAGAGCUGGGCAUCAUUACUCGUUACUCGCCUUAAACUUGCUAUUUGACUCGUAUCCACUUUGAAAAUUCAAGUAUUCAGUGUUGUCAAGGCAAGUAACAAGUCGACAAUUUUCAUUACUUGCAAGACCAAGUUAAGUAUCAAGUAUCAUUAUAAUUUUUAGUACUUGACUCGUUACGCCCCGUUACUUGCCCCACUACUUGCUAUUUGUUACAUGAUCUAUUAAUUAUUUGUUUAUAUUUGUCUUUUCUUUUACUUGUAUUUAAGAUUCGACACAAAUAUUGGCUGUAACUGGAAUGCAAUUUUGUGGAAUAGAUUUGUUUGGAAUGUAUCAUUUCAUAACAUUCCAUAAAAUAUUUAUCAGUUAUAAUGAAUACCAUUUCAAAAUAAUUCCAUAUAUUCCAUAAAAUAUUUACCAGACACAAUGAGUACCAUUCCAAAACAAUUCCAUAUAUUUCAUUUUUGGAAUGAAACAAAAAUGAAAAUCCUUUGAAAAAUUCAUUCUUUUUGUUUCACAAAAUAAACCCUAGUGAAUAAAUGAAAUGAGUGGAAUCAACAAUUCCAUUAAUAAUUUCAGUUUCAGUUAUUCAUUACUCUUUUUAUACUUGUUACUUGUUUCGUAUUCAUCUUGAUUUUUAAAUAAUCGUUGUCUUCUAGUCAAGUAUUAUAUAAAGAAGACAAAUAAAAAAUAUAUAUGCAUCUUUCGAUAUAAACAUUGUAUAAUUUAUACGAUAACAAAAAUGUCUUCUCUAAACAAGUAACAUGUAAUAACAAAUCAUAUAACUAAAUUUUCAAGUAGAA